AUUAAAGAGUAAGGGUGCUCAGCGCCCGACCUCCAACCCUUUGUUGUUAAAACUACCUUGUUGCUUUGGCGGGACCGCUCGGUCUCGAGCCGCUGGGGAUUCGUCCCAGGCGAGCGCCCGCCAGAGUUAAACCAAACUCUUGUUAUUAAACCGGUCGUCUGAGUUAAAAUUUUGAAUAAAUCAAAACUUUCAACAACGGAUCUCUUGGUUCUCGCAUCGAUGAAGAACGCAGCGAAAUGCGAUAAGUAAUGUGAAUUGCAGAAUUCAGUGAAUCAUCGAAUCUUUGAACGCACAUUGCGCCCCUUGGUAUUCCGAGGGGCAUGCCUGUUCGAGCGUCAUUACACCACUCAAGCUAUGCUUGGUAUUGGGUGCCGUCCUUAGUUGGGCGCGCCUUAAAGACCUCGGCGAGGCCACUCCGGCUUUAGGCGUAGUAGAAUUUAUUCGAACGUCUGUCAAAGGAGAGGAACUCUGCCGAUUGAAACCUUUUAUUUUUCUAGGUUGACCUCGGAUCAGGUAGGGAUACCCGCUGAACUUAAGCAUAUCAAUAAGCGGAGGAAAAGAAACCAACAGGGAUUGCCCUAGUAACGGCGAGUGAAGCGGCAACAGCUCAAAUUUGAAAGCUAGCCUUCGGGUUCGCAUUGUAAUUUGUAGAGGAUGCUUUGGGUAAAACGCCAGUCUAAGUUCCUUGGAACAGGACGUCAUAGAGGGUGAGAAUCCCGUAUGUGACUGGAAAUGUUAACCUAUGUAAAGCUCCUUCGACGAGUCGAGUUGUUUGGGAAUGCAGCUCUAAAUGGGAGGUAAAUUUCUUCUAAAGCUAAAUAUUGGCGAGAGACCGAUAGCGCACAAGUAGAGUGAUCGAAAGAUGAAAAGCACUUUGGAAAGAGAGUUAAAAAGCACGUGAAAUUGUUGAAAGGGAAGCGCUUGCAAUCAGACUUGUUUAAACUGUUCGGCCGGUCUUCUGACCGGUUUACUCAGUUUGGACAGGCCAGCAUCAGUUUCGGCGGCCGGAUAAAGGCUCUGGGAAUGUGG
rnacentral:rRNA from 1 species